rnacentral:rRNA from 1 species
ACAGCAGUAGCCGCGGGAAAACGUAGGGUGCAAGCGUUAAUCGGAAUUACUGGGCGUAAAGCGUGCGCAGGCGGUUAUAUAAGACAGAUGUGAAAUCCCCGGGCUCAACCUGGGAACUGCAUUUGUGACUGUAUAGCUAGAGUACGGCAGAGGGGGAUGGAAUUCCGCGUGUAGCAGUGAAAUGCGUAGAUAUGCGGAGGAACACCGAUGGCGAAGGCAAUCCCCUGGGCCUGUACUGACGCUCAUGCACGAAAGCGUGGGGAGCAAACAGGAUUAGAUACCCCGGUAGUCCAUGUCUCUUAUAC